rnacentral:rRNA from 1 species
AGAGUACGUGAAACCGUUCAGGGGUAAACCUGAGAAACCCGAAAGGUCGAAAGGGGAGAUUCAGCGUGUCUCGAUUGCGGCGCUGGACGGUCGUGCGACGGAAGACGUACGCGUCAUCCGCACCUUCCGUUCUCCGAACCGUAGUCGAACGCGUGCACUUCUCCCCCUGUAGGACGUCGCGAUCCGUUGGGUGUCGGCCUAAGGCCCGCAAUGGAGCCCGUUCGGACGGUUCGCCGUUCCGGACGAACUUGCGGUGUUUCCCGGUCGGCUCGCUCGACGGUAUACAGAUGGCGCGGGGCCGCUACACAUCAGUUAGCGUCCGACCGGCGGCAAGCGCGCUCGUCGUGACGGUGAUCGGACCUGGUGCCGGUCCUGUCCCCGAGUGGCUGUUCGCUGCCGUGUUCUCGGACAGACCUCGUCGAAACGCCGAUCUGCGACGCUAUAGCUUUGGGUACUUUCAGGACCCGUCUUG